GGGCCCGCACAAGCGGUGGAGCAUGUGGUUCAAUUCGACGCAACGCGAAGAACCUUACCCAGGCUCGAACGGCAUUGGACAUCCGGCGAAAGCCGGCUCCCGCAAGGGCCGAUGUCGAGGUGCUGCAUGGCUGUCGUCAGCUCGUGUCGUGAGAUGUUGGGUUAAGUCCCGCAACGAGCGCAACCCUUGUCCGCUGUUGCCAUCAGGUUAUGCUGGGCACUCUGCGGAGACUGCCGGUGAUAAACCGGAGGAAGGUGGGGAUGACGUCAAGUCAGCAUGGCCUUUAUGUCUGGGGCUACACACGUGCUACAAUGGCCGGUACAAACCGUCGCGAUCUCGCAAGAGGGAGCUAAUCGGAGAAAACCGGUCUCAGUUCGGAUUGCAGGCUGCAACUCGCCUGCAUGAAGUUGGAAUCGCUAGUAAUCGCGGAUCAGCACGCCGCGGUGAAUACGUUCCCGGGCCUU
rnacentral:rRNA from 1 species